rnacentral:rRNA from 1 species
UGAGGAAUAUUGGUCAAUGGACGCAAGUCUGAACCAGCCAAGUAGCGUGCAGGAUGACGGCCCUAUGGGUUGUAAACUGCUUUUAUAUGGGGAUAAAGUGGGGAACGUGUUCCCUUUUGCAGGUACCAUAUGAAUAAGGACCGGCUAAUUCCGUGCCAGCAGCCGCGGUAAUACGGAAGGUUCGGGCGUUAUCCGGAUUUAUUGGGUUUAAAGGGAGCGUAGGCCGUUUGGUAAGCGUGUUGUGAAAUGUAGGAGCUCAACUUCUAGAUUGCAGCGCGAACUGUCAGACUUGAGUGCGGGCAACGUAGGCGGGAUUCAUGGUGUAGCGGUGAAAUGCUUAGAUAUCAUGAAGAACUCCGAUUGCGAAGGCAGGUUACGGGAGCGCAACUGACGCUGAAGCUCGAAGGUGCGGGUAUCGAACAGG